rfam:Oryza brachyantha chromosome 3, whole genome shotgun sequence.
AAUAACUUCAAUUUUUGUUUUUCCAUGUCCAACGUUUGACCAUUCGUCUUAUUUGAAAUUUUUUUACGAUUAAUAUUUUUUUAUUACUAGAUGAUAAAAUAUGAAUAGUACUUUAUACGUGACUAAUUUUUUAAAGUUUGUUUUACAAAUUUUUUAAAUAAAACGAAUGGUUAAAUAUUAGAUACGAAAAAGAAAAAUAACACUGUUA